UGAUGAUGGUGAGGGAAAUUUUGUAGCACACUCUUAAGUCUCUUCCAAGCUUGGUAGAGAUUCUCUUCUUCUUUUUGUCUGAAACUCAGAAUAUCACUUCUCAAACA
rfam:Capsicum annuum cultivar Zunla-1 chromosome 4, whole genome shotgun sequence